ACACGUAGGGGCCUGACGUUGUUCGGAAUCAUUGGGCGUAAAGGGCGCGCAGGCGGCCGUCCAAGUCCGGUGUUAAAUGGUCGGGCUCAACCCGAUCAUGCGCUGGAAACUGGGCGGCUUGAGUCCCGUAGGGGAUGCCGGAAUUCCAGGUGUAGGGGUGAAAUCUGUAGAUAUCUGGAAGAACACCGAUGGCGAAGGCAGGCAUCUGGCCGGAGACUGACGCUGAGGCGCGAAGGCGCGGGGAGCGAACAGGUUUAGAUACCCUGGUAGUCCGCGCAGUAAACGAUGCGCACCAGGUGUCGGGCGGCAGCGCCCGGUACCGGAGCUAACGCGAUGAGUGCGCCGCCUGGGGAGUAUGCCCGUAAGGGUGAAACUCAAAGGAAUUGACGGGGG
rnacentral:rRNA from 1 species